rnacentral:lncRNA from 1 species
AAGAAGAGGAAUUUAAGGAUUUGAGAGAGAAUUCAAAUCCACGUAAUUCCUUAAAAAUCUCAAGAAUAUCCUCCUUUAUUACAUGCCAAAAUUUUGUAGCAAACCCAUGUUGAAACCACUGGGACUUGGGGCUUUAUUCCUUCUAUAGUGCAUGAGUUGCUCAAGGAUCCCCUCCUCAGUGAACUCUCUUUCAAGUGAUUCUUGACCCAGCUCAUUCAAAGACAUGAAGUUGAAACCAUCCAACUUGGGCCUCCAACUAAACUCCCUCAAAUAGAAUCUAUAGAAGAAUUCUAGGACCCCUUGCCUCAACUACUCAUUACUCUUCACUAUCUAGUCGUCUAUCUCGAUCUCCUCCACAUAGUUAAUCCUCCUAUGAUGAUUUGCCUUGUAUGGGAGACUUUUGUAUUUCUACCUCCUCCUUUAUCCACCUAUCUCUCGAAUUUUAUCUCUGCGAUAUUUUAACAUUGUUCAGGACAUUGUUCUCUAAAUAAUUUUUUCCUGUUUAACCACUUUACACAUUUUUAUAAACGAGUAUAAAUUAAGUUAGAAAAUGAAAAUUUCAAAAUAUUUUGUCUACGAAAUGAAGUCUAGAUGCAUUUCCAGCUCCUGUAUUACAGAGUUUGUGCAAAUCAUUAAGUCAAAUAAGUUGAGCUUUUGGAGGUUGGAGUACUCUAGAGUCACAAGGUACUUUACAGAUAUAAGGAAAAGGAUAUGUCGAGGAUUCUUCAGAAAGAAAGAAAAUAGGAGAGGAAAGAGAAAAUAAGAGAGAAUUUGUAGCAAGUUAAAGUGAUGUAGAACGAGAAGCGGUUAAACCAAUUUGUCAGAUAGUUUAAAAUGAGGAAAUUUAGGUGAAAAUAGAAGCAUAAAGAUAGGGUAGAGGAAAUUGAGGAUCAAUGUGAACAAAUAUUGGGAGAAAUAGAAUGAAUAAAAUAGAUUAGAUUAAAGAAAAAAAUAAAUAAGAAGGAAAGAAACCCUAGCAAAGGAAGUCUUAAUUCAUUUUAAUUUAUUCUUCUUUUUUUUUAAAUAUUCUUUCUCAUGUCAUCACAUUAGUGAUGAGAUCAAAUUAAGGGUGAUAUUUC